ACGGGAGGCAGCAGUGGGGAAUAUUGCACAAUGGGGGGAACCCUGAUGCAGCGACGCCGCGUGAGUGAAGAAGUAUUUCGGUAUGUAAAGCUCUAUCAGCAGGGAAGAAAAUGACGGUACCUGACUAAGAAGCCCCGGCUAACUACGUGCCAGCAGCCGCGGUAAUACGUAGGGGGCAAGCGUUAUCCGGAUUUACUGGGUGUAAAGGGAGCGUAGGCGGAGAUGCAAGCAGUCUGUACAAUACCGGGGCCCAACCCCGGGCCUGCAGACUGGACUGUGUCUCUUGGAUAGUUCAGGGGCUGGCGGAAUUCCUGGUGUAGCGGUGGAAUGCGUAGAGAUCAGGAAGAACACCGAUGGCGAAGGCAGCCAGCUGGGGACUCAUCGACGCUGAGGCUCGAAAGUGCGGGUAGCAAACAGGAUUAGAUACCCUGGUA
rnacentral:rRNA from 1 species